rnacentral:snRNA from 1 species
GUGCUUGCUUCAACAGCACAAAUACUAAAACUGAAAUGAUACUGAGAAGAUUAGCAUGGUCCCUUUGCAAAGAUGAUACACAAAUUUUUGAAAUGUUCCAUAUUUUA